GGAGGAGUGGCUCAAAUGAUAGAGCACUAGCUUAGCAAGUAUGAGACCCUGAGUUCAAAUCCUAGUACCACCA
rnacentral:tRNA from 1 species